AACGAACGCUGGCGGCAGGCUUAACACAUGCAAGUCGAACGGGCCCUUCGGGGUCAGUGGCAGACGGGUGAGUAACGCGUGGGAACGUGCCCUUCAGUUUGGGAUAACCCAGGGAAACUUGGGCUAAUACCGGAUACGUGCGAGAGCAGAAAGAUUUAUCGCUGAAGGAUCGGCCCGCGUCUGAUUAGCUGGUUGGUAGGGUAAUGGCCUACCAAGGCGACGAUCAGUAGCUGGUCUGAGAGGAUGAUCAGCCACAUUGGGACUGAGACACGGCCCAGACUCCUACGGGAGGCAGCAGUGGGGAAUGUUGCGCAAUGGGCGAAAGCCUGACGCAGCAACGCCGCGUGCGGGAUGAAGGCCUUCGGGUUGUAAGCCGCUUUCAGCAGGGAUGAAACUGACAGUACCUGCAGAAGAAGCCCCGGCUAACUACGUGCCAGCAGCCGCCGUAA
rnacentral:rRNA from 1 species